UACGUAGGGUCCGAGCGUUGUCCGGAAUUACUGGGCGUAAAGAGCUCGUAGGUGGUUUGUCACGUUGUUCGUGAAAACUCACAGCUUAACUGUGGGCGUGCGGGCGAUACGGGCAGACUAGAGUACUGCAGGGGAGACUGGAAUUCCUGGUGUAGCGGUGGAAUGCGCAGAUAUCAGGAGGAACACCGGUGGCGAAGGCGGGUCUCUGGGCAGUAACUGACGCUGGAGGAGCGAAAGCGUGGGGAGCGAACAGG
rnacentral:rRNA from 1 species